rnacentral:rRNA from 1 species
CCUACGGGAGGCUGCAGUGAGGAAUAUUGGUCAAUGGACGCAAGUCUGAACCAGCCAUGCCGCGUGCAGGAAGACGGCUCUAUGAGUUGUAAACUGCUUUUGUACGAGGGUAAAUCCCGAUACGUGUAUCGGGUUGAAAGUAUCGUACGAAUAAGGAUCGGCUAACUCCGUGCCAGCAGCCGCGGUAAUACGGAGGAUGCGAGCGUUAUCCGGAUUUAUUGGGUUUAAAGGGUGCGCAGGCGGAAUGUCAAGUCAGCGGUAAAAUUUCGGGGCUCAACCCCGUCGUGCCGUUGAAACUGGCGUUCUUGAGUGAGCGAGAAGUAUGCGGAAUGCGUGGUGUAGCGGUGAAAUGCAUAGAUAUCACGCAGAACUCCGAUUGCGAAGGCAGCAUACCGGCGCUCAACUGACGCUCAUGCACGAAAGCGUGGGUAUCGAACAGGAUUAGAUACCCCAGUAGUC